AGUCCUUCGCCGUCCCUCGCCGUCCUUCGCCAUCGCACGCCACCGCACCCCAUCUCUCGAAAUCUGCAGACAUCUUGAUUUUUCCCACGCUGUCUGUCAGGUCUCCGCCGCCACUCGACGCCAGGGCGCCGGGCCUUGUGGGCUGUGCUGCACCUCGGACGGCUUCGCACCAGCCAGCGCCCUCUCUCUCCUGCAGCACUCUGAUCUGCACCCCCUGAGGGGCUUCCACUGUCCGCGGGGUGAGAAUGCCCCUGGGAGUGUCACAUGACUGCCGCCCCAUGUGUGUGAGAGGCGUCCUCUGGGAGAGCAUGGAUCCUGAGGUCCCAGGAACAUCCCGAGAGCCAAGUUCCCAGAUGCCAGCCAAGGGCCAUCUGACCUGUUUUGAAUCUCAAUUUCCUGAUACAGAAAACAAAGGAUUGUCAGCUGACCUCUGUCCUGUGUGCCCAGUGGCCCCAGGUGACGUGUCUUCAAGAAGAGGCUGAGCUGCGGUGCUUGUAAGGUCUCAGCCUUAGAUCCAAGGACAGUCCAAGGAAGUCCUAAGACCAUGGAGUUGGUGAUCUGGGAUCUGGGUUUGCUGAUAUUUCUCACCGUGAAUCUCUUGGUGGUGUUUGUGGGCACGAGAGGGGCAGAGAAUGGAGAGUGAGGCUACCACAUGAAGCGUCACCAGAGCUGCUCCCUGCUGCCUGCUCAGAGCACCCCGGAUCCACUGUUCAAUCUGCACAAGAUUCGGGGUCCAGACAUGGGAGACUUCAGCUGCCUCAGAGGACCGUGGACAGGGAAGGCCAGCCUCGCAUCCCUCUGUCCAUGCCUGGAAUGACUUUAAUAACCAAGAGUUUUAUUUUUGAAUUUGUAGCUGUCGUUCACUUUUUACCCACCCAUUCAAUAAACCUUACAGAAUUGCUCCA
rnacentral:lncRNA from 1 species